GCACCCAUAUAACCUUCUGAUUAUAUUAACUUUAAUUUCUUAGCACCGCCUCUCCGAAGGCAGAGGUCGCGCGUUCGAAUCGCGCCGGGUGCACCA
rnacentral:tRNA from 1 species